rnacentral:rRNA from 3 species
AAUGCGUAGAGAUCUGGAGGAAUACCGGUGGCGAAGGCGGCCCCCUGGACAAAGACUGACGCUCAGGUGCGAAAGCGUGGGGAGCAAACAGGAUUAGAUACCCUGGUAGUCCACGCCGUAAACGAUGUCUACUUGGAGGUUGUGCCCUUGAGGCGUGGCUUCCGGAGCUAACGCGUUAAGUAGACCGCCUGGGGAGUACGGCCGCAAGGUUAAAACUCAAAUGAAUUGACGGGGGCCCGCACAAGCGGUGGAGCAUGUGGUUUAAUUCGAUGCAACGCGAAGAACCUUACCUGGUCUUGACAUCCACGGAAGUUUUCAGA